rnacentral:rRNA from 1 species
GAUAAGGUUUCCCUCCCCGACAUUUGUGUCGGGGGUAAAGGCCUCCCGUAGACUACGGGUUUGAUAGGUCACAGGUGUAAGUCCGGUAACGGAUUUAGCCGAGUGAUACUAAUUGGCCGUCAGGCUUUAUCGA